CGCUGAUGGCGGCCGGGGCAGGGCGGGCCGGGCCGCAGCAGCAGCGGCAGGGGCGGCUCAGCCGGAUAGGAGGAGGCGACACGAACCGGGCGGUUGUGCCAGGAGCCCUGGGGUGUCCCCGCAUGCAGGGGGUGUGCGGCUUCAGUGGCGCAAGAACCCCGGAGCAGUGGCGGAGAGACGCCGGGGCUGGGCCGGGCCGGCUCCCGAACACGGCCCGGAGAGGCUCCCCUGGAGGGAAAAGGGCACCCUGAGACACCCGAGCAGAUGGAAAGGGUCCUGGUUUACUGAGGUGGGGUGUUGAUAAGGCUCCAGUGCAACAAGCACAGCUUCGCUCCCGCUAGGAGAAGGCAGCAGGAGCCGGAGCCUCGCAGCGCUGGCGAACUCUCCCCACAGUGACCGCGGCCGGCGCCCCCUGCGGCACCGAGCGAGCGGGAGAGCGAGGGGCUGCACCCGAGAGAAAUCUCCGGUACCGCUGCCCCUCCAGCAGAAACUCCCCAGCUAAGAGAGUAGCCAGCCGCAUUCUUCCCGUGGCAACUUCUUUUGUCUCCGUUAAGUCCUGGUCGUUAUUGUCUCUUAGCAACAAAUAGGACAAAAUGCCAUGAGAGAAAGAAACACCAGGAAAAAUCCUAAACCCCAACAACAAGCUCUAUGCAGUAGUGCUUCUGCUACUGCCGUGGGUCUCUUUCCCUGCCAUCUCGGGAGCAAGGCUGGCGAGUAAUGUGCAGCCAGGAGCCAUGGCUGUGAAUAACCAGCAAAUUCCUGGGAGGAGAGCUGUGUACCUGACCCUGCAGAUGCUGCGGGAUGUGUGUUUGCAGCGAUGCAGGCUGAGCUGGCUGAGCAGCACUGAACAUCUGCCUUAAGGCAAGUCACCUGGCCCAGCUCUUGAAACCACCAGCUUCAUUGGCAGCAAAUGAAGUCCUUGGCCAAAGAGAGAAAUUGAGGACUUAAAACUGUCUGUGCAGGAAACAGCCAGGGAAAUGUCUGUCCUUUAUCAACAGGCCACAUCACCCCAUCAGCCCUACAAGCACAGGACCCGCAGGGCAGCAGGACCCACUCUCAGGGAAGGUGGAAGCCUCAUCUAGACCCAGCACCGGCAACAUAACUCUGCCCCAGUUGUGAUUUUUAUAAUAAGCUGAAUUCUCAGCUGGACCCAGCAGAAAAUCAAUAGUGGGACUUGAGAAAGCAGUCAAAAUCCAUGGAGCUAAAUUGGCCACCCCGCAGGCAGCUGGGCCUUCUCGGGCAUUGUGAUGUGCAGCCACCUGAAAGGGGAAAAAUAGGACAAUUUCAAAAGUCCUUUGAAAUAAUUGCCUAAGAUUAUUGAAUUCUCUUGAAAUACCAGGGCAAGAUGCAGAAGUGCUUUUUAAAAAGUUGGCAGUGGGAGCUGGAGGAGCGAGGGAAGCUACCUUCCUGCUGCCAAAGGCAUCUGGGGACAGCUGAGGUGGGUUUUUCCCUUUCCCAAUUAGAUCCAAUGAGUGCCUGCCACUCCACCUGUGGAGCCUUAUCUGCAGAGCAGCACAUCAGCUUUAGCAGAAAGCCUUUCUUUCUCCAAAGUCCCUUUAAUUCCAUCCUUUUAGAUCUGCCUUUUCAAGCGCAGCCCCAGCGCCUUCCAUCUGCCCUUACAAUAGAGACAGUGUCCUGAGUCGUUUUAUUUUUGGCAGCUUUGCCUUCCGCUCCUCGUGUGCAGGGAAGCAGGGAGCAGAUCUCCCCCUCACCGCAGCCUCUGAGGAUGCUGUUGGAUUUGGGGAUGGCUAUUUCAGUCCCAGUGGUGGAUGCAGGACAGACGGACACUGUAGGGCAGCAUCCUGAGGCUGUGUGAGCCUGUCCAUGAUUACUCACAGCACAUGGCUCUUGCUGGUGUACAGCCAGGUGACUCUAAAAACGUGGGAAGCCUCAGCCAGAGUGUUCCAUGCCUAUCAACGUCUUCCAAGCUAUAGGAAGAAAGACAGGGCAGGAAAGCAAAGAAAAACAUAAAGAAACAAUUUUCCCCUGACAUUUUUCUUUUCUUUUUUAAUGUGAGCCCUUACAGGAGGAGGUCUUUAAAAUUAAUAAUGUUCUUUCUUUUUCUCUCUCUAUUCCUGAGACUCCUGGUUUAACUUAAUGAAAUGUCAAAUACUAUUAAGUUCCAAUGAUGUGUUUGUGAUAACGAAGGGACUGAUUUUCAGCCAGUUUACAACUUUGAUCCCUUCUCUCACCCCCUUCUCUUGGCUCUGAUUAAAACUCUCUUUAUUAGAUUUGCUCUUUCAUGGGCUCCCUCUGAUUUCUAACCUUUGUGGUCCGAGGCUGGGGAAAGCCUUUUCAUUGAGCAGAUUUGAAGGCUUUUCAGCAUUCUGGUAUUUUGCUGCCAUGUCUGCUCGGGAGCUGGUGGAUAUUCCCAGGGAUGUCACCCAGGGUGCUGCAGGGCUCCUCAGGACUGGACCCUGUCACUGGGAUGUGGCUUUCAAGGCAGCAGGGAUGCCAAGCUGGGUUUUCCCUAUGGUGACUUUACUGGGACACUGUGAAAAGGAAAAAAAAAACCACCUCUGAUGGCCACAAAGUGCCUUGGGGAAGGCCAGACAGGAAUCUCCAGAGACACAAGUGCCUGAAGAGCCUCACUAGGAACUGAGGCAGUCCUUGCUUCACUUGCUGCCCUGCCAAGGUCAUAAGGCAAGGGUUGUACAGCUGGCAGCAUGUCUAGAGGGAUGAAUUAGGGAAGGACAAAUGGGUGGACUAACAGCUAGAUGGGCCCAUACUCUAAUGGAUGGCCAACAAGGUUACAAGGUGCUCUUGCUGAGGGCUUCAUUAUUCACUUGUGUGGCUGUGCUUCGUGCAAGAGCUUAAAGGGUUAAUCUGUAAUUUAGGACUCAACAGCAAAGAUACAGUUGUUGGGAGAGAAGAAAGCCAGCCCUGUCGAAGGCUUUGGGAAAUAAUUUGCCUUGGCACUUUCUUAUAAGAGUGAAUUGAUUUUUGCUGGGCUGUGUCAGGCUGAAUUAUGAAUGGGGGAAAGUAGGGCUGGUGCUCCUGGAGGUGAAGGUGUGAUAAUUAGAGGCACGUGCAGAGGGGGCUUGGGAGCUGCCUCUUUCCAGGAUUUCCCAUGUGAAUCCAGGACUCAGAAGCCCUCAGAGUCCUUGGAGAGGUGUGUUUGCUUCAGCCUGGACACAGAGGUGGCCUCCAUGUUGAUGUCCCCCAUACUGAACCAGGAGAAGCCUUUUCUGGGCCAUCUGGGACCACCUCCUCUCCCUAUCUAGGCAGUAGAGCAGCAGAUCCUGCUUGCUGGAGGGUGAAACAAAGCAUCACCUUCAUCCUGGGAGGAGAUGGAAGUGUGCAAGGGGCAAUCCUGUCACCCUGCCCUCCCUCAGUCCUGCCCUGGCCACUGCAGCACUGCUGGGAGGGAGCCAUGCCCCAAGCCCUGCUCCUGCCUUUAAAAACUGCUGGUGCAGUGUCACUGCCUGCAGCCACCUCCAUCAGCCAGCCUGCUGCCCCCCAGGUGCAUUAUCCUGACCUGCUCAGAUGCUGCUUUCCAAGGCAAAGGCAUACAAUUCCUGCAGGCUGCUGGGAAUUGUAGUGCAGCAAAGCCAGCAGGCAGGAGAGGGGACAAAGCCAGGCUGCCAGCUGGCUGCUGGCCUGGCCAAAGCUGCUCCUCUUGGCAGAGCCAGCACCAGACCUUGUCCCCGGCAUGCAGAGACCCCAGGAAACCUGCAUCUGCCUCCAGCACCAGCCACCUCUCCAGAGCUCUGAGCACCCUUCCAUGCAGCUUGGCUUUUGUUUGCCAGCUCAAGAGGAGUCACUGCGAAGAGAAUGAGAUCCCUGGGAUGCUCUGCCUUCGGCUGGAGCAGCAGGAAGCUAAGCCAGGGCUGGAGAGUGGGGACCAGAUCUGGGCCCAGAGGAGCCGCUGUGUCCCACAGGAGCUCAGAGUGCCACCUUGAAGGCUUUUGUUCUUGUAGAUGCCCAGCAGGUGCGGACAAAUUCCCUGCAGUGAGGGGAGACCAUUGCUGGGUAUCCCUGGUGUCAUCCCCAGGGUGCUAAUUCCUUUAACCAACUGGGAGGAUGGCACAGGGAAUUAAUCAGCUGUAAUAAGGACAAUUGGAGCUGACAAAGCAGCAGGAAGUGGUAGCAGAGGACUGGGUGGAGGAGCUGAAAUUUGGCUGAGGAUGAUCCUGCUGAAGCAUCCAUCAUGCUGCUCCCGUCCUCCUGGCAGCAGCCACGAAACCUCAGGUGUGAGUGGAUGGCACUUCACAUGAGCACCUCUCUGAAGGGCACAGGAGGCCAGUGCAAUGAAUAAAAGGCUGCUGCAGCCAGGGAAAGCAGGGAAGAGGCGACAGCAGCAGCUCCGCGGUGAGAACGAACAAGUGAACACUACUCUGGGGCUUUGUGUCACUGUGAUGGGCUCUGUGCCCAUGGCUGCUCUGGAUCCCCUCUGGAUCGCUCACUGGUCCUGUCGAAGAGAAACUUGAGGGUGAAUAUUGCAGGCAGGGAGAAGUAGGGAGGGAGCAGCAGGCAGGGCUAGGCAGGGCUUGGCAGGGCUCACCAGCAACCCAGAGAUGCUGUAGCAGUGAGUGCCAGAAAGUGUGGCAGGCAGGAUGCCCCAGUGGGAGUAUCCCCAGCCAUUCCCAUCACCUCUGUCCAUGGGGAAUUAUCUUAAACUGUCUUUUAGAAGGACUGACUGACAUCUGAAAGAAAAAGACUAUUGUGGAGCUUAUUUAAGAUAGGCUGACCAGAGAAACUGUCCCUGAGGCCACGCCAGAGAGAGGAGGAUGGAUGCAAGGCCCUGGGGCUGCAUCCAGCCCGGGGAGCAUGGGGUCACAGGCAGGAGGUUUGAUCUAUACCCGCGGCCUCUUCUGUGCUGGGGGAGCAUGGGGAGCAUCACAGCAGCUGCUGCUGGGAACACCCCCUUCCCUCCCCUCUUGCUAACGAAUGUAGGUGAAACUUGCUGUGCCAUGACUUUAAUCAGCAAAGAAAACUGCAAAGCCUUUUUUUUUCCCUUUCCCCACCUGCUGAAUUCAGCACUGAAUGCGAAUUAGGUGGCGUUCGGGCUUGGCUGCACGCCCGCUUCCCGUGCUCAUGCAGGGAGCCAGACUCUCCCGCACCCCGAGCCUCCCAGGCUAAUCUGAGCCGCGCCUGGAUCAGCCUCUGGCAUUUCACACUGUGCACUGACCCCCGGGGUUUAAGGGCUGCUUGCUGCCGGCUCAGCCCGUUCCGGGGAGCGGGACUGGCCCUUGGCACCCAUGGGUGGCUGGGCAGGGUGACCCUGGCAAGACGUGCCUCACCAACCUUGGGUGUGUGGUGGCAUUAUCCCACAGCCGGUGUGCUCAGCAGCAACAGGCUGCCUGCCCCAGGAGGGGAUGCAGGAGUCGGCGUCCUGGAGCUCUGCAUAGGUGUGAGCCCAGGUGGAGCUGUUCCCCCGGGCUCACACCUAUGGGUCCAUGAGCGUGGCAGGAGUAAUUUGUGGCUCCAUUAGCACUAGGAGUCAGCAUAGCAGCCCUGCAGUGUGUCCAUUUGAUAAGAAGCAAGUUCCACUGAAUAAUGAGCAGUAAUUGGAUUUCAGGGUUAACCAGCUUGCAGCAAAAAUAGAAAAGAACAGAAAGCCAUUGGAUAUUUCUGUUCUGGCUCAUCAGACACUGGAAGUUUAUCUCUGCUGAGAAUAGCACAGGAGAGGUAAAGUUAUUAGUGACCAUCAGAGCAUGGUGAUACCAUCUCCCUCUUGCGUUUAGUGGGAUGAGUCUGUUCGUCCUCUGUGAGUUUCAUUUAAGGCUAUGGAAGUUGAUAACCCCCUGCGGGAGAGCUCCACCCGUGCACCAGUGCAGAGUGGCACAGAGGGGAGAAACCAGCUCUCCUCAGUGUGCAGGAACACCUGCCAGCCUGAGGCAGAAGGCAGUGUCUCCUGCCAGUGUCACCUCAUCCAGGUGACAGUCUGGUGGGCGGAAGGCCAGCAGAGAUGCAUGUCUGGAGCUGCAGUUGCCUUCCUUGGGGUGGCACCAGUGUAGGCAGGGUGGGCACAGGUGGUUGUGCCAAGCACCAGGAGGUGCACAUAGCCAUGAUGGCCCUUCUCCCAGUGAGAUGGAUUCAUGCUGGGAGUGGUGCAGAGAAGGGCUAUUAGCACGGGGCAGAAGGGAGAGCCUGUCUUGUAAGAUGAAGCUGAAAGCACUUGGCUUGUUUAGCCCAGCAAAGAAAGGCAGAACAGGAAUAUGAUUACUCUCCAUAAAUAUAUCAAGCCAGUAAACACCAGGUACAGAAAGGAACCAUUUAAGCUAAAAGACUGUUCUGGCACAAGAACAAAUAGGCUUAAACUGGCUAAUGUAGGCUGGAAAUUAGGAGACACUUUUAAACCCUGAGAAGCAGAGAAGGAAAAAUACCUCAUUGCCUUUCCAAAUGGAGCUGGACCACCAUGUGAAGGGAGCAGAUAGCCAGCUGCCUGCAGCUGCAGGGCUCUGGGGUGGGAGCCAGCAGGGUCCUGCCAUGUCGGGCUCCUUCCAGGGUGACUGGGUGCACAGUGCACAGCGGCAACUUCAGAGGUCCCAGUUUCCCAAGGCAGGGAGCACCAGGGCCUGCUGACACCAGUCUGCCUCUGCUCAGGGGCUGGCAGGCACCUGGCACCUGGGACAGCCCCCAAAGUGCUUGGGGUGGAAGGGGUAAUGAACCAGAGGCAGCCAGUGGUGUCUACCAGCUUGGGAGGUGCCACAGGAGCAAAAUCUUCACUGAUCAGAGCACAGCAGCUCAGAGCUCCUGGAUUAGGGCUGGGAAUCUGCUGCCAUCACUGCUUGGUCUGGAUUUUCACUGGGAAUGGCAUACAGCUGAGCCACCAACUCCAGAUUUUACCUCCUGCAUGAAAUUAUUCUCAAUUCCCUGUAUAUUCUAGGGCCUUCCUAAAGGAUGGGUGAAGAAUCUGCUGAUGAGGACUCUAAUCAGUUUUGAGAGCAGGUAAUUUCUCAGCUAGAGAUCAUCUCCAAACAGGAAAUCAGAUUCAGGAGAUACCUACUUUAUGCAGCACAUCAUGGUGGACUCAAGCAAAGCUUGUGGUAAUAAGCAGAGCUGGAAUAAGAAGAUCAUUAUUAACAUUAUGCAUUAAUUAUUUUACAAGCCUCCUACCAGGUGUGCUUUCCACAUCAUCUAUCUCACUCAUCUCUAGUAUUAAUAGAACAGGAAUAAUUCUAGACCCAAUCCUGGCAUUUUGGGUGAUGUUUCUCCUUUCUGAUACCGGAGGAAAGAUGUUCCCUGCCUUCAUUGUGCGUUUAGAGUUUGGCAGCGUGCCUGGGAUCGUAGUAAGACAAAAAAGCAUUUGAAGGAAGCGGCCACUGGAUGGAGCCUUAAAGGUCAUAACAAUUGCCGGCUCCGGUACAGAUGGUGCUCACUGAUGAAAAACACCAAGCGGGAAAGCGGCGAGCGUUAGGGCUGCGGGAUGCUGCAGAGCCCAAAUCCACCACCCCCAUCCCAGCUCUAGACACCUGAGCCGGCUGCCAGCGCCUCUGCCUGCUCCUGCCCCCGGGUCCUGCCCUCACUGUGCCGGUGUAGAUUGCUCGGGGCAGGGAUGCACUCACAGCCCGGGGUGCUCUAAAACACCUCACCAAACACCUUGCUUCUUUCCGGCAAGACGAAUAGAGAUAAGUGACUGUGUGAAGAGAAUUCCAGUUUUGAUUAA